rnacentral:rRNA from 1 species
UACAGAGGUCUCAAGCGUUGUUCGGAUUCAUUGGGUUUAAAGGGAGCGUAGGUGGUCUUAUAAGUCAGUGGUGAAAUCUCUGGGCUUAACCCAGAAAUUGCCAUUGAUACUGUAGGACUUGAGUAUAGUUGCCGUUGGCGGAAUAUGACAUGUAGUGGUGAAAUACAUAGAGAUGUCAUAGAACACCGAUUGCGAAGGCAGCUAACGAAACUAUAACUGACACUGAGGCUCGAAAGUGUGGGGAUCAAACAGG